UUCGUAUUGUUGUGAGAGAGGUGAAAUUCUUAGACCACAGCAAGACGAACUACUGCGAAAGCAUUUGCCAAGAAUGUUUUCAUUGAUCAAGAACGAAAGUUAGAGGUUCGAAGGCGAUCAGAUACCGCCCUAGUUCUAACCAUAAACUAUGCCAACUAGCAAUCUGCUUAUAUAUGUUCUAUGAUUAAGUAGGCGGCCACGGGAAACCAAAGUAGGGUUAUGGGGGAAGUAUGGUUGCAAAGCUGAAACUUAAAGGAAUUGACGGAAGGGCACCACCAGGAGUGGAGCCUGCGGCUUAAUUUGACUCAACACGGGAAAACUUACCUGGUCCUGACACUAAAAGGAUUGACAGAUUGAUAGCUCUUUCUUGAUUUGGUGGAUGGUGGUGCAUGGCCGUUCUUAGUUGGUGGAGUGAUUUGUCUGGUUAAUUCCGAUAACGAACGAGACUCUAGCCUAUUAAAUAACACACAGAAUCAUGUCUUCUGUGGCGUUUCUUAAUGGGAUCAAGUGUGUUUAACGCUU
rnacentral:rRNA from 1 species